rnacentral:rRNA from 1 species
AGCGAACGCUGGAGGCAGGCUUAACACAUGCAAGUCGAACGGGCAUCUUCGGAUGUCAGCGGCAGACGGGUGAGUAACACGUGGGAACGUACCCUUCGGUUCGGAACAACUCUGGGAAACUGGAGCUAAUACCGGAUACGCCCUUAUGGGGAAAGGUUUACUGCCGAAGGAUCGGCCCGCGUCUGAUUAGCUAGUUGGUGGGGUAACGGCCUACCAAGGCGACGAUCAGUAGCUGGUCUGAGAGGAUGAUCAGCCACACUGGGACUGAGACACGGCCCAGACUCCUACGGGAGGCAGCAGUGGGGAAUAUUGGACAAUGGGCGCAAGCCUGAUCCAGCCAUGCCGCGUGAGUGAUGAAGGCCUUAGGGUUGUAAAGCUCUUUUGUCCGGGACGAUAAUGACGGUACCGGAAGAAUAAGCCCCGGCUAACUUCGUG